AAAAAUCUUGUAACUGUGUACAAUUUACAAUUUGAAUUAUUCAGCUUGUCAUUCACUUAAUACACGUCCGUCGCGGAUAUUAAAAUACAUAAGCAUGAACAAAG